rnacentral:rRNA from 1 species
AGUGAACGCUGGCGGUAGGCCUAACACAUGCAAGUCGAACGGCAGCACAGUAAGAGCUUGCUCUUACGGGUGGCGAGUGGCGGACGGGUGAGGAAUACAUCGGAAUCUACUUUUUCGUGGGGGAUCACGUAGGGAAACUUACGCUAAUACCGCAUACGACCUACGGGUGAAAGCAGGGGAUCUUCGGACCUUGCGCGAUUGAAUGAGCCGAUGUCGGAUUAGCUAGUUGGCGGGGUAAAGGCCCACCAAGGCGACGAUCCGUAGCUGGUCUGAGAGGAUGAUCAGCCACACGGGAACUGAGACACGGUCCAGACUCCUACGGGAGGCAGCAGUGGGGAAUAUUGGACAAUGGGCGCAAGCCUGAUCCAGUCAUACCGAGUGGGUGAAGAAGGCCUUCGGGUUGUAAAGCCGUUUUGUUGGGAAAGAAAAGCAGCAGGUUAAUACCCCGCUGUUCUGACGGUACCCAAAGAAUAAGCACCGGCUAACUUCGUG